GUAAAUAUUUGGCAAAGCAGUGGAAACGCUGUGACGCAAAGCUCUAGAACCUGUGAAAUGGUAGUCAGCUGCACUU
rnacentral:ncRNA from 1 species